CCUACGGGAGGCAGCAGUAAGGAAUAUUGGUCAAUGGACGCAAGUCUGAACCAGCCAUGCCGCGUGGAGGAUGAAGGUCCUCUGGAUUGUAAACUUCUUUUAUCUGGGAAGAAAUCCAUAAAUUCUUUUAUGGUUGACGGUACCAGGUGAAUAAGCACCGGCUAACUCCGUGCCAGCAGCCGCGGUAAU
rnacentral:rRNA from 1 species